ACUUUUGUGGCACAGUGGUUUGAGCACUGGACUAUGACUCUGGAGAUCAGGGUUCGAAUCCCAGCUUGGCCA